rnacentral:rRNA from 1 species
GACGAACCGUGCAAACGUUGUUCGGAAUCACUGGGCUUAAAGGGCGCGUAGGCGGGCCGGAUAGUCUGUGGUGAAAGCCUCCAGCUUAACUGGAGAAGUGCCAUGGAUACUGCCGGUCUGGAGGAGGGUAGGGGCAUCUGGAACGCUGGGUGGAGCGGUGAAAUGCGUUGAUAUCCGGCGGAACACCGGUGGCGAAGGCGGCAUCCUGGACCGGUAUUGACGCUGAGGAGCGAAAGCCAGGGGAGCAAACGGG